rnacentral:tRNA from 1 species
UCGGGUGAUUAGCUCAGCUGGGAGAGCACCUCCCUUACAAGGAGGGGGUCGGCGGUUCGAUCCCAUGGCAAGGCGAA